AUACGGAGGAUCCGAGCGUUAUCCGGAUUUAUUGGGUUUAAAGGGUGCGUAGGUGGUAGAUUAAGUCAGCGGUGAAAGUUUGCCGCUCAACGAUAAAAUUGCCGUUGAUACUGGUUUACUUGAGUAUAGUUGAAGUAGGCGGAAUGCGUGGUGUAGCGGUGAAAUGCAUAGAUAUCACGCAGAACUCCGAUUGCGUAGGCAGCUGACCAGACCGCAAAUGACGCUCAUGCACGAAAGUGCGGGGAUCGAACAGGAUUAGAUACCCUGGUAGUCCGCACAGUAAACGAUGAAUACUUGUUUUCGGCGAUAUAAUGUCGGAGGCAAAGCGAAAGCGAUAAGUAUUCCACCUGGGGAGUACGCCGGCAACGGUGAAACUUAAAGGAAUUGACGGGG
rnacentral:rRNA from 1 species